rnacentral:lncRNA from 1 species
UUGGGACCUAGAUUGAAGUGUCCAUUUGUAUUCGCCAUUUGGUAGGUACCAUGGUAUCUUGUAGCAGCACCUACACCUUGAGUCACUCCGCUGAUAGUCAAGGUCUCUUGUCAGUGUAUAUAUUUACUGAAAUGUAAAUUAUGAGAUUGUUAUGCACUCUGUAUGUUGAUUGAUUACCCCUGUCGGUUAGGAUUGAAGAAUGAUAACCCUAUUUUGGGGAUGUUAUAUAUAUAUACACUUGGUUCUCAUGGUCUAAUUUUG